UAUGGGUGCUAAGGUCCAUAGCCAAGAGGGAAACAACCCAGACCACCUGCUAAGGUCCCCAAGCAAUACUCAGUCACUAAGGAAGUGAAGUUGCAAUGACAGCCAGGAUGUUGGCUUAGAAGCAGCCACCAUUUAAAAAGUGCGUAACAGCUUACUGGUCGAGCAAUUUUGCGCCGAUAAUGAACGGGAGUAAGUUCUGCACCGAAGCAGUGGAACACGCUUGCGUGUUGGUAGGAGAGCGCUGUACGUCAGAUACAAGUCGCACCGCAAGGAGCGAUGUCGGGGCGUACAGGUGAUUAUGCCGGAAUGAGUAACGAUAAAGCAGGUGAGAAUCCUGCUCGCCGAAAGCCUAAGGUUUCCUGGGGAAGGUAAAUCCGCCCAGGGUUAGCCGGUACCUUAGUCGAGGC
rnacentral:rRNA from 1 species